AGAGCUAGGCUGCUUCUCUGUCUUUCUCUGAAGGAGUGUUUAAGUGUUGAAGUGGAGAAGACAGCAUCCUGCAUCAGUGUGCUGAUGACUGGUUUGAGUCAUUUCCUGUGAGCCUGGAAUACCAGCCUGCAUUCUCUCUUGCAGAGGCAGGAAAUGAUCUUGUUCCCUGUGUCUCGGAAAUAUAAACAUGUGAACCACUGAAGGUGACUUUCUUGGAAGAACUGUUUUUUUUCCCCACCAAGGAAACAUAUUUUUUUCUGAGAUGUCCAAUUGAUUAGUGCCAGACCAAUGGAAUUAGUAAGUGAAAUCCUCAAGAUGUUCGAUUGUUUUUAUAGCACAACUCAGUUGCCAGUGUUUUUCUAUAUGUGAAAAUAUUUGGCAGCUUUGUUGACCAAAUAGGCAAUAGUAUGUGAAUUUCACUUUUUAUCUAAAGGCCUUUUGGUUUCAUGUCUCAAAUGUAGGAGUUUGACAUUCAGCUAAACCAGGGUAAGUGAUUGUCUUCAUAACUUCUGUGGAGUGUUAUGAGAAAGUAGAGCCUCGUGUCAUGCUCAGCUGCAUCAGAACUAGACAUACAUGUUUGGCUUUCCUGAAGGCAUUUGCAUACACAGCAGGCUGUCAAGCCUGGAAUUGCCUGUGUAGGCCUGCUGGCCUCAGCAGCUCUCCCCAUGGCCCAUGUGGAGACUUAGGUCUGCUCUCCCAGUGUUAUAAGCAAGUUCCAUCUUCAUAGGGGAACCCCCUUCCUAUGUUUGGCUUGAGCAGCACCAAGGAACAUACACAUCGAAUAAAUUCCCUUCUUGAAGUAAUACCAGUACUUUGGUUAAGCCACUGUAAAACUACUGGUAUGCAUUUGUUCAUAGUUUGGAAAAUACUGUUUUCAUUACAGUAAACCAAUAUAAACAUCAGCAAUAUUGCUAUCAAACAAAUUAGUUCUCAUGUGAAAUGUAUGGUGAGUAAAUUUGUUAUGUAGCUGAAUACAGUAUUAUUUAAUGGAACUUGAUUUGGUGCCAACCAAACAUACGGAUCUUUAAAUGUGUUCCCCUUGUGGCUGAAAUCAUCCACCAGUAACAUGUGCUGUAUUCCCUUCCAGACUUACAGGCUGGCUGCCCUUAUUGUAUGAGGUUUUGAAAUGCAACAAAUAGCACUGGUGUGGGGGGAGGAAAACAGUGCAACAAUUUCUGUUUUGUUAGUUAGUUUUCAAAAAAAUUGGCAUGACUAAAACUUUUCUUCUCUCUUCCCCCAUCUUUCAGCCUGGAAAAGCGUUAUGUUUUAUCUUCAGAAGCCAUAAAGCCAUAAAAGUUCUUCAUUCUUUUGAGGAUCCAUUUCUCUUCUUUCCUUUUUUACCAGGGGAAAUUGAUAGAAGAGCAAAAGAGGAGAUAAAUGGGAGGCGGGGAAAUGCAGGUAAAUCUUUUUGUGCUUGACUUUUUGCAAUAUUAAAAUAAUUACUAAAGGAAUAUAUAUUUCUGAAUAAAUAUGUUUUUCAGAAAA